AUCCUUCAGUUCAUGAAUGUGAUGAUUGGGUGUUCAUGCCUUAUGCAUGGAAUGUGCCUCCCUCACAAGUUCAUACCACGUGGGCCAAUUACCCGUUUUACC